AGCGAACGCUGGCGGCAGGCUUAACACAUGCAAGUCGAACGCCCCGCAAGGGGAGUGGCAGACGGGUGAGUAACACGUGGGAACGUACCCUUCGGUUCGGAAUAACUUGGGGAGACUCAAGCUAAUACCGGAUAAGCCCUUAUGGGGAAAGGUUUACUGCCGAAGGAUCGGCCCGCGUCUGAUUAGCUAGUUGGUGAGGUAAUGGCUCACCAAGGCGACGAUCAGUAGCUGGUCUGAGAGGACGAUCAGCCAAACUGGGACUGAGACACGGCCCAGACUCCUACGGGAGGCAGCAGUGGGGAAUAUUGGACAAUGGGGGCAACCCUGAUCCAGCCAUGCCGCGUGAGUGAUGAAGGCCUUAGGGUUGUAAAGCUCUUUUACCCGGGACGAUAAUGACUGUACCGGGAGAAUAAGCCCCGGCUAACUUCGUGCCAGCCGCCUCGGUAA
rnacentral:rRNA from 1 species